GUGUCAGCCGCCGCGGUAAAACCAGCACUCAAGUGGUCAGGAUGAUUAUUGGGCCUAAAGCAUCCGUAGCCGGCUCUGUAAGUUUUCGGUUAAAUCUGUACGCUUAACGUACAGGCUGCCGGGAAUACUGCAGAGCUAGGGAGUGGGAGAGGUAGACGGUACUCGGGAGGAAGUGGUAAAAUGCUCUGAUCUCUCGAUGACCACCUGUGGCGAAGGCGGUCUACCAGAACACGUCCGACGGUGAGGGAUGAAAGCUGGGGGAGCAAACCGGAUUAGAUACCCGGGUAGUCC
rnacentral:rRNA from 1 species